rnacentral:piRNA from 1 species
GCAAUGAAAAUAUUUUGUGAUUGGAGG